AUUUCCAAGUGUUGUACAACUUUAAUAGAUCAGAUUCCUCGCUGCAAGUGAGAAAUCCAAAAUAAAAACCCUAAGUCAAAAUUUGAGGCUCUUCCCUCACUAAUAAAGAAGACGAAAAUACACCCAUAAUCCUUCGAAAUCGUUCUUAUUUUCCAUGUAGAAGUUGUUGUUCUCCUCCAAACCGUAAACCCUUUGCUAUUGAGUAAUCCUUCAAACUCACCGAUCGUUUUUGAAGAAACCCUCACUAUCGCUCCGGUUGAUGAAGGUAAAUAAAUUUCGUUCUUCUCUAUUCUUUUGUUCCUCAAUUGGAUUUUUCAUAUAUUGAGUAAUAAUACCCUAAAAAAUAAACAUUUCAGAGGAAAGGUUGAGUUAGCGGACAUUGCAACGGGGCCGGGGACCAGAGUCGAAACUCAAAUUGCACAUUUUGCAGCAAGUCAGGAGGGCUACAGGCACGUGACCUUGAAUUUGAUUCCCCAACCUCACUGUCACUGUUCAAAGCGAAGCGAGCUUUUUGGUACAAAUGGUCUUCUGUUUCCCUCCCUCCAGGUUAGGUAUCGGUCGAGGUGAUAGUGUUGAAUUUUGCAUUUUUCAUAUAUUAACUCUCAAUUAAAUUACUAGGGCUUGGUUGGUUGUAAUUUGGGGUUAAUUGCAAUGGUUUUGUACAAUAAUUCUUCCAAUAAAAUUUGAUUCAGCCUGUUGUGUAUUUAGUACAGUAACUUUGGAAAACUUGGGCUCUUCUCUAAGAACUACUGACCCUCCAGAGACUCGUGGCUUUCUUCAAAAAAAAAAAAAAAUUUAAAGAACCUCUAUUAUCGUUUAACAUGUGCCAUUGUUAUUUAGUUCAUUUCGAUACUUGCUGUAAAGGGGCUUAGCUGUUUUAUUCUCCCCUGUUUAUUUUAUACUAUAUCGUUUUUUUAAUUUAUGUUUUCUCUUGACAAAGCUUUGUUGAGGUUUAUUAAAAAAACUUUCAUUAUGAAAUUCUUUUGUUAGUAAUUAUGGGUUUUUGUUACGUAUGUAAAAUUCUUCAUCAUUAAUCUUGAUUAUUGAAUUUUGUGAUGACUUCUUUUCAGGGGUUAAAACUGUUAGAAAAACACUAGAUCAGUUCGGAAGGACCUAUGUAGUCAGGCAAAGGUAGACAGCAAGCCACUGUGGUUUGACUUCACUGCUUUGGUGAUAAUGGUUCAAGGUAAUAAUGUUUUUACAUUGGUUUGUUUUAGCAUCGUCUUUGAAAUAUUUGAUUGCAUAAGUUUAAGAUAGCUCAUGACAACUAUUUAAUUUUUUUUUUCCUAUCACUCAAGUUAUGUCCUGUCUAAGGGGGUCAUUGAUCUUUAUUGAAUAGACGGUGACGAUACCAGCAUUGCACAAUGGUAGAAUACAUCUCUAUAUCUUUUCUAAUUUUAUUUUUAUGUUGGUUCUGAUUUGUUACCAAUUAAAAUGCUAAGGUUUGUUGUUUUGCUAAAAACAAUAGGACUGGCUGACAAAAACACAAAGCAACUUUACGUUUCAAGUUGACAAUAAUGUUUUUAUUAUUCAUACUAUUAUGAAUUGAAUAUUUGUUUACUAUCAGGUUUCCUUCAAAUUUUUUAGAUCUUUGACAUGAAAUUUAUUUUUUCUCAACUUAUAUAGAUGAUGGAUUUUAUUAUUUUCAUUAGAAACUUAUCCACUGUUUAUCGUUCCAACUGUCCUUACUAAACCAAUGACUACAUUUAGAGGUUUUCCAUUCAUUUCCUAUAAGAAUAGUUGUUCAUUCUAUUUUCUUGUCUUGGUUGAUUUUUAAAAUCAAGAUAUACUUGUAUUUUUCAGUUUAUCGUAGUUUAACAAGAAAAAAUAAAAAAUAUAUUGUAAACAGACUUAUACUCGGUAUCCUUUUAAAUCCUUGGACAAUGAGCAUUCCUUUUAACAUAUUUGUUGAAAAUCUUGCUUUAACAAAAAUUCUUCUCUUUGAAACAUUAAAGUAAAAAUAUCUCAAAUGCUAAUGUGAUGUAAUCCAGAUGAGAAUACUAGCCUGCGUCUUCUUUCUUUGAGUUGGAUAGUGUUAGUGUUCACAAGCCUACAAGCAUGGCAUUAAGGUUGAUAGAAUGGGGAGAUUCUGGUGAUUCCAGAAUUUUAUGAUAUUUCCUCUUUUGGAUUUUUAGAACUUUUACCUUUCUUUUUAUUAGCUUGAUUUUGGUGGAUUUUGUUUAAUUGUUUUGUUAACUCUUGAGAUUUGAAUUUGAAAUAAAUUUACUCUUGAGGAUUAAAUUUAUCCUGUUUUAAAUUAAUUACUAAUUAGGUAUGAGAAGGUGUAUGAUGUUGUGAAAAUUAUUAUUCCUGUGAGUAGUGACAGCAAGACAGCAAAGUACCUAUUUAAUACUUGUGAUAAAAUUACAGGCUCAGUUUAACAUAUCAAAUACCAAAUUUUAAAAAUUACAAACAAUAACAAAUAGAACAGAGCCCCUAAUUGGUUAUUUGCAUCAAUAAAUAAACCCCACCAUUCCAUUCAAGUUUCCACCAUCAGUUCCAAUGAUCAUGCUAAUGCUACGAUGAAAUGAUAGAUCUUCUUUUAGUUUCCUGCACGUCAAAACUCUCUAAUUGGCGUGUUAUUUUUUCAUGAAAUUUCUAACAUCUAUUAAUAAUUUCUUAAUGUUACUGAAAAGUUUGUAGUUCAUGGGAUGAUAGCCGAAGAGUUUUGGCUGAUCUAACUCUAUCAAGUUGGUAAUUGCUUUUCGUAACUAUAUCUUCAGCACUCGAAACCUUUUAUCGCUUUUCCAAGUUGAUUUCAGUCAUUUGUUAGUAAGUCUACGCGGAUGAAAUUGAUAGAAGCGUCAGGUUAUGUGGUGGUGUUAUAAUUACCAGAAAACAUUGUUGUAUAGGUUCCGUCGUGACAUUCUCAUGCGCUAUAUAAAUCAUCAUUGUUUUGCAGGUGCUUUAGGACAUUCUUUAGUGGAGUCUGGAUCGGCUAGGCAGGGUGCCUCAGAGGCAAGAGUCAAGAUGAAAAGAAAUAUAUCUACAACUACAUAAGGUAGGAAAUUUUAUUAUUUUUAAGUCUUCUAUCUCUUUUAACUUCAUUAGUCUAACAUCCUGUUGAACCUAAGCAUGAUUCAUUUCACAGAGUUUUGACCUGCUAUGUGCCCAAAAUGAACUCCUUGGUAGCGUUUUUUAUAUUGAAGAUUCUAUAGCUCAAGUUCUGUGGCUGUGCAGUUAGGCACAAGCAACGAUAGACUUGGAAGUAAUUUUUGCUGAGCAAGAGACUGAGGAACCAUUUUGUAGUUUGCCGAUUUGAUAGUGCUAUGCCAUAAAGCAAUUUACCUGGCAUGGCUUUACAAAUGGAUUGCAGAAUUAUUCAAGGUGUUCUGCAUCUUUCAUUAUUGAACCACUGAACUAUUCACUUUUGUCAAUGUUUCUAUGUGUUGGUCUGCUUUAAAUUUUAAUGGACGGAAAAAUGUGGGCCAUUGUGUUUUUCUAUGUCGUAUGGAGGUAGAUCACAAGUUAUAGCAAUAAUCUUUUCUUAUGGCCCCCCAGCACUUGUGUAGGUUAGUUACAUGUUGAGCGCAAUGAUGCUAUUUUACCAGUCAUAAGUCCUGCAACCCAAGCACUUGAAAUUGCUUCAUCUCAAGCUCUUAGAAUUGGCAAGGAGUUUUGUGGAGACGAUAAUCGGCUUAGACGUUUUAUUUCUUUCGAAGAUAAUUUUGUUGGUACAUUGUGGAUUUCUAACCCAAGGUGUAUUAAGCUUGUUUUUCAUAAGCUUCAGUACACUAGACAUUCUUUGCAGUGCUCUUCAAAUGACAGGACGUUUAUUGGGAUCUUACUUUAUUGAUGACACGGGUUCCGGAGCAGUUGGUGCAAUAAGUAAAAUUGAUCUUAUGUAGGGGUGGCAAUAUGGAUCGGGAUUCAUUUAUUUGAUUCGAUUCGAUUCGAUGCGAAUUAAAUGGGUUUGGGUUUGAAAAAAUUGAUUUGCUAAAUAAAUGAGUGAAUUCGAUUUGAUUCGCUAAUUAAAUGAAUUGAAUCUGGGUUUGAAGAUAUUGAUUCGUUUAUUCGUUUAAUAAAUGGGUCAUAAACAAAUUGAAUACAAGUCAAUUUGUUUAAAAUUCGUUUAUUAUUUGUUUAAUUAAAUUACUUUUUUGUCCUUAAAUUUAUUUGAUUUUUUUUUUUAAAUUUGAAGGUUAAUAUUGUAAUUUGGAUGACUGUAUAUUUAAUCAUAGAAUAUGAUUUGGGUUAUCUAUAUUUUGUUGUAGGAUAUUAAAUUAGUGGUUUUUUUAUAUUUUUUUUUAUAUUUUAUUUUGCUUAAUUUUCUUUAUUUAUUAUAUUUUUGUAAACAAUUUGUAAACGAAUCAUGAUUCGAUUCAAUUCGUUAUGGAUUCAUAAUAGAAUAAAUGAAUAAUAAAUGAAUCUAGAUUCGAUUCGUUUAUUAAUUCUACUAAAUGAAUUAACGAAUCGAACCGAAUAUUCGUUUAAUAAAUGAAUUGAAUCCGAAUCCUGAAAUUUCAAUUCGUUUAAUAAAUUAUUCGAAUCCGAAUUAGUAGAAUUUUGACCCAAUUCGUUUACAAUUCAAUUCGAAUUCAAUUCGUUUAUUCAUUUUGCCACCCCCUAAAUUCUCAUGCAAGCUAGAAAGUUCCGCCUUCUGUGGAGGCUCUCCUAUUAAAUGAAGGUCCUCCAAAAGGCACGCAACCUGAAUCAAAGAGCUCCUUAUAAAUUGUAUGGAGGGUAGAUUGUGAAAGUCUCAUGUCCAUAUUGACUCGCACUCAUAGCAAGUUAGGCAGAAUAGCUUGGUAGACGCUCUGGCUCAACAGAUUUGUGUGUAUGAAAGUUCAGGUUCUAAACCUCUUUCAUAGGUUAGAAAGAAGAGAUGAGGUGAUAAGGUUUUUUUAUGCUAGUGGCUUCCAAGUGAAAAUAGAAUUAAUACUGCAUUUACUAAACUGGAAUCAGAAUGAGCUGGAAUCGAAAUAAACAUGAAUGAAAAUGGGCUGGAAUGGGGAUAAGGAAUGAGAAUCAGAAUAGGUUGUUUACGUGAACUGUAGGAAUCGAAAUCGGAAUGAGCUGGAUUGCCAUAAAUGUGUUUACUUUGUCUUACAAUUGGAAUCAGAAUGAGUUAGAUUGUAAACCAUUAAUAAAAAGUACUUAAUGAAUUAUUGCCAUAAUUAUUAUUUUAUGUUUUAAUUAUAGUGAUAAUUUAUUCAAAAAUUAUUAUUAUUAUUAAUUAUUGUCAAUAAUCUAUUGAUAUAUUAAUUAAUUAUAAAAAUUAUUAAUUAAUUAUAAUAAUUAUAUUAACAAUUAUUAUAAAAUAUAUUAAUUAAUAAUAUUAAUAUUACCUAUUUAAUUAUAAUAAUAUAUUAAUUAUUGUGCUUAUUUAUUCAAAAAAUAUAAUUGUUAAUAUAUUGUUGUUAAUAAUUUAUUAAUAUAUUAAUUAAUGUAAUAAUUAUAUUAAUGAAUUAAUAAUAAUAAUAUGAAUUAAUUAUAAUAAUUAUAUUAAUGAUUAUUAUGAUAGUAUAUUUAUUAAUUAAUUAUAAUAAUAAAAAUAUAUUAAUUAUUGCGAUUAUUUAUUCAAAAGCUAUAAUUAUUAAUAUAUUAUUGUUAAUAAUGUAUUAAUAUAUUAAUUAAUAGUAAUAAUUAUAUAAAUUAAUUAAUAAUAAUAAUAUAUGAAUCAAUUAUAAUAAUUAUAUUAAUGAUUAUUAUUAAUAAAUAUAGUUUUUAUAUUAAUUAAUAGUAAUAAUUAUUUCAAUUAAUUAAUGUAAUAUAUGAAUUAAUUAUAAUAACUAUAUUAAUAAUUAUUAUAAUAGUAUAGUAAUUAAUUAAUUACUAACAAUAUAUUAAUUAUUGUGAUUAUUUAUUCAAAAAUUACAAUUAUUAAUAAUUCUUGUUAAUAAUGUAUCAAUAUACUCAUGAACUACAAUAUACUAAUUAAUUAAUUAUAAUAAUAUAUUAAUUAAUUAUAUAUUUGGCUUUUUUAUUUUUGAUUUAAAGGAGGGGCAUUUUAGGAAUAUUUGAAUAUUAAUGGGGGCAAAAUGGGAACUCUAGGGCAUGGGAAUCAAUCUCCCAUUCCCCAUUCCCAAAUAGUGGUGGGCCCCACGAUUUUGAAUCUGAUUCUUGUUCUAUUUUUGUGAAGUAAAUGCCGUCAAUCAUUCCAAUUCUGGAUUCCGAUUCCCCAAUUCGGGAAGUAAACGCAGCAUAAGUGUUCUUAAAGGUAAGUGUUGUGAAAAUUUUAUUGAACUCCCAAGUGCGCGAAUCUAUUGUAG
rnacentral:lncRNA from 1 species